rnacentral:rRNA from 1 species
GACGAACGCUGGCGGCGUGCUUAACACAUGCAAGUCGAACGGAAAGGCCCUGCUUUUGUGGGGUUCUCGAGUGGCGAACGGGUGAGUAACACGUGAGUAACCUGCCCUUGACUUUGGGAUAACUUCAGGAAACUGGGGCUAAUAUCGGAUAGGAGCUCCUGCUGCAUGGUGGGGGUUGGAAAGUUUCGGCGGUUGGGGAUGGACUCGCGGCUUAUCAGCUUGUUGGUGGGGUAGUGGCUUACCAAGGCUUUGGCGGGUAGCCGGCCUGAGAGGGUGACCGGCCACAUUGGGACUGAGAUACGGCCCAGACUCCUACGGGAGGCAGCAGUGGGGAAUAUUGCACAAUGGGCGGAAGCCUGAUGCAGCAACGCCGCGUGCGGGAUGACGGCCUUCGGGUUGUAAACCGCUUUCGCCUGUGACGAAGCGUGAGUGACGGUAAUGGGUAAAGAAGCACCGGCUAACUACGUG